rnacentral:rRNA from 1 species
CCCUUAGAUGUUCUGGGCUGCACGCGCGCUACACUGAUACAGCCAAAGAGAUAUUUUUGCCUAUCGGCUGAGAGAAAUCUUGUGAAUCUGUAUCGUGAUGGGAACAAACGAUUGCAAUUAUUCGUUUCGAACGAGGAAUUCCUAGUAAGCGUGAGUCAUCAGCUCAUGCUGAUUACGUCCCUGCCCUUUGUACACACCGCCCGUCGCUCCUACCGAUUGAAUGCUCAGGUGAGCCAUUCGGACUUUCAUCAUGCUGGUUUCCAGUUUUGAUGAAGGAAAGUCUUGCGAACCUUAUCAUUUAGAGGAAGGAGAAGUCGUAACA